GCCGGGUGUGGUGGCAUGCACCUGUAGUCCCAGCUAUGCGGGAGGCUGAGGUGGGAGGAUCACUUGAAUCCAGGAAGCAGAGGUUGCAGGGAGCCAAGAUCACACCACCGCACUCUAUCCUCAGUGACAGAACGAAAGUCUGUCAAAAAAAAAAAAAAAAAGGUAAAGCAAUCUUUACUUUCCCCAGUUACUGAGGAAGCUGAGAGCUGAGGCAGGGAGGAUUACUUGAACCCAGGAGCUGUGGGCUGUAGUGUACUAAUCUAUUCGGUGUCUGCACUAAGUUCACCACCAAUAUGGUGACUCCCCAAGAGUGAGGGGCCACCAGGUUGCCUAAGGAGGGGUGAACUGGCCCAAGUCCGAAACUGAGCAGGUCAAAACUCCUGUGCAGCGCCAGGCACAGUAGCUCACACCUGUAAUCCCAGCACUUUGGGAGGCUGAGAUAGGCGGAUCACCUGAGGUCAGGAGUUUGAGACCAGCCUGGUCAACAUGGUGAAACCCCAUCUCUA
rnacentral:SRP_RNA from 1 species